rnacentral:rRNA from 1 species
UACGUAGGGUGCGAGCGUUGUCCGGAAUUACUGGGCGUAAAGGGCGCGUAGGCGGUCUGCUAAGUUGGAUGUGAAAACUCUGGGCUUAACCCAGAGCCUGCAUUCAAUACUGACAGGCUAGAGUUCUGGAGGGGAUAGCGGAAUUCCUGGUGUAGCGGUGAAAUGCGUAGAUAUCAGGAGGAACACCGGUGGCGAAGGCGGCUAUCUGGACAGAAACUGACGCUGAGGCGCGAAAGCUAGGGGAGCAAACAGG